GGCGAGUGAGGUGGAGCUGCGGGCGGGACGCUGGCCGUCUCUCCCCCCUUCCAGGCCGGCUCAGCUCGCUGCGGAGAAAGGCACGUGCUUCGCUCGGACUUCGGUGCAGUGCUGCAGGACACCAGCCUUGACACACUUCUCCCUUUCCUUGCUGUCCUUCACAUUGUGAAUAAGUGAACCUUCAGCCCUGCAAGCCUUGUACGCAAUUCAAAGUGCAAGAGCCAAUGCACUUGCCAUCAGAAGGACAGAGCAGGACACCUUGCGUUCUGAGGAUGUGAAGGCAAUUGAAGAAAUGGCCUUCUGCAGGCUGUCAGUGACAGAUACCAGCUCACUCACAUCGAUAAAGCUCAAUUAGCUGCCGGAGAAGGCAUCUUUUAAAAAUGUAAUGAGCUGCACCAUGGAAG
rnacentral:lncRNA from 1 species